CCCUAUGGGGUGCAGCAGGCGCGAAAACUUGGCAAUGCGAGAAAUCGUGACCAGGGAACUCCAAGUGCAUCGGGUAAGACCGAUGCUUUUCUUGACUCUUCAAAGGUCUUGGAAUAAGGGGUGGGUAAGGACGGUGCCAGCCGCCGCGGUAAUACCGGCGCCUCAAGUGGUAGUCGCUUUUAUUGGGCCUAAAACGUCCGUAGCCGGUUUGGUACAUUCGUGGGUAAAUCAAGGCGCUCAACGUCUUGAAUUCUGCGAGCACGGCCAGACUUGGGACCGGGUGAGGUGUGGGGUACUCUCAGGGUAGGGGUAAAAUCCUGUCAUCCUGAGAGGACCACCUGUUGCGAAGGCGCCACACUAGAACGGAUCCGACGGUCAGGGACGAAGCCUAGGGGCACGAACCGGAUUAGAUACCCGGGUAGUCCUAGGUGUAAACGCUGUGGACUUGAUGUUGGGAGUGCUCCGAGCACCCUCAGUGUCGAAGCGAAGGUGAUAAGUCCACUGCCUGGGGAGUACGGUCGCAAGGCUGAAACUUAAAGGAAUUGGCGGGGGAGCACUGCAACCUGAGGAUUGUGCGGUUUAAUUGGAUUCAACGCCGGAAAACUCACCAUAGCCGACGGACAUAUGAAGGCCAGCGUAACGAGCUUGCCGGAUUGUUCGAGAGGUGGUGCAUGGCC
rnacentral:rRNA from 1 species